GAUGGCAAUCUAGCCCUUUAGUUUUGAGGUUGGUGUACUGUGUGUGAGUAUAUAUAUACUUAUCACACACAGUAGCUAUCUUCAAAAGUGAGGGUGCACAUC
rnacentral:pre_miRNA from 2 species